rnacentral:misc_RNA from 1 species
UACAGAGGGUGCAAGCGUUAUCCGGAAUCAUUGGGUUUAAAGGGUCCGUAGGCGGGUCAAUCAGUCAGUGGUGAAAGUCUGCAGCUUAACUGUAGAAUUGCCAUUGAUACUGCAUACCUUGAGUAAUUAUGAAGUGGUUAGAAUAUGUAGUGUAGCGGUGAAAUGCAUAGAUAUUACAUAGAAUACCGAUUGCGAAGGCAGAUCACUAAUAAUAUAUUGACGCUGAUGGACGAAAGCGUAGGUAGCGAACAGG